rnacentral:snRNA from 1 species
GGGAAGUCGGCAAAAUGGAU